GUUUAGCCCUGAUUGAAGUGACAUCCUUUUUUAUUUUUCUUAAAAAAGAUAUAACGAAAAGCAGGAAAUAGC
rnacentral:sRNA from 1 species